GACGAACGCUGGCGGCGUGCUUAACACAUGCAAGUCAAACGGAAAGGCCCUGCUUUUGUGGGGUGCUCGAGUGGCGAACGGGUGAGUAACACGUGAGUAACCUGCCCUUGACUUUGGGAUAACUUCAGGAAACUGGGGCUAAUACCGGAUAGGAGCUCCUGCUGCAUGGUGGGGGUUGGAAAGUUUCGGCGGUUGGGGAUGGACUCGCGGCUUAUCAGCUUGUUGGUGGGGUAGUGGCUUACCAAGGCUUUGACGGGUAGCCGGCCUGAGAGGGUGACCGGCCACAUUGGGACUGAGAUACGGCCCAGACUCCUACGGGAGGCAGCAGUGGGGAAUAUUGCACAAUGGGCGGAAGCCUGAUGCAGCAACGCCGCGUGCGGGAUGACGGCCUUCGGGUUGUAAACCGCUUUCGCCUGUGACGAAGCGUGAGUGAUGGUAAUGGGUAAAGAAGCACCGGCUAACUACGUG
rnacentral:rRNA from 1 species